CGUAAUUAUCCACAGGUUAAUGUAAUCAACUUCACCACCAGCUGGUCUGAUGGCCUGGCUUUGAAUGCUCUCAUCCAUAGUCAUAGGUAUUGGGAGAUCGAUGGGCAAACAUCUGUAGGUGGACAGAAGCCCGCUGGGUUCUUUUACAAGACAUCCUUCUCAAAUGGCAACGUCUUACUGAAGAACAGUGCCUUUUUAGUGCAUGGCUUUCAGAAAAAGAAGAUGCAGUGAACA
rnacentral:sRNA from 1 species